ensembl:lncRNA
GUGUUAAGACAAUGCUACAAUCUUCAACUCAAAUCAGCAGAUAGACAGUUGAAACUUGGAAAUAUUUGAGUGUGGACAAUGAUCCCAAAAACACAUAGAAGCUGAUUUUCAAACGGAUAAAGCAGUGGGAAAAGUUUGAUCCUUUUUAUACCCACCUAGCAAUGCACUAUGUCAGAUAUCUGCCAUUUCUGCAAGACUUUGUGGAAAACUCUUUUCUUGAAUUUUCCCUUAUUGCUCAUUUUAAAAGUUUGUUGAAAAAAGAUCUCUCCUGCUUCAGGAUUAAGUCCACAAGUUUGAGGUGCACUACUCUUAAAGCUCCUCGGUGGGCUAGGAUGGGUUUUCAUUCUAUUCAUCAUUUCACGGAUUUGGUUGUACUUUCACAUCUUAACAUUUGCUCAAAAUAAAAGCUUUACUGAUUGAAAAUAUGCCUAUUUUAUUUAUUUAAUUUUUAUUUAUUUAUUUUAUUUAUUUAAUUUUUAUUUAUUUAUUUUAUUUAUUUAAUUUUUAUUUAUUUAUUUUAUUUAUCUAUUUUUUCCGCCUGUCCUGUUUGGUUCUUUUGCCAUCAGAAUUAUUGUCUAAAGGCAAAGAAAGAUGCCGAACGGAUUUACUUUACCAAAUGGACCAUCCCAGCCUUGCCGUAAUGGUCUAUUUGAUUCACCUUUGCGUUUAUUGUUUAUUUUAUUUUCACUUACUACACACGGGACAGACUUGACUGGGGGAAAGAAAAACUGCGGGGAAGAGGGACGGUGACAAAGGGCAAAAAAAGAAAAACCAACAAAACAAACAGACAAAAAAUGCAUAUAUCAAUCGCCUGGAUCAUAUAUGAUCAAAUAUGCCUAUUUUAAAAGAAAACUACUGUGAAAAUGUGCUUUUAGGCCUGUUUAAAGGUUAUACUGUAAAUUCUCCUCAAACCUAAACCACGGAAAACAUUUUCCCAGACAGGGAUUCAAGGUCAGUCAGAUAAAGAGGCGCAGACAAAGGCAUUUUGUUUUUGACAGCUGUGUGUGUUCAGCUUAAUGCCAGACUACAGAUUUAGUGAUCACAGGUAGAUUUAUUCCUAAUUUUGAAAGGAUUUCCAAUUUCCUUCCUAUCAUUUCAAAAUGUAUUACUGCUUUUGUGUGUGUGUG